CUGCAGACAGGAGAGGGAAAGACUGAAGGUGAUAAUAACACUAAGGAAUGACAUUCAUGGGAUUGUAAAGCCACCAUUUUGGGAAGUUCAGUUUCAACUCCAUGUAAGUCACCAGGUUUUGGAGAUGACACAAGAUGACUCCCCCUCCCUACUGUCACCCCACCACAAGAAGACCACUCUACCCUUCACCUGAGUGUCUCCAGAUCUCCUCUACCAAAUUCUGUCAAAGCACAAGAACCAGGACGUUGCUCCCCCACCCCGGCCUUUGGUUGUUCCUUCACAGUUAUGAUUUUCUCCUUGAGGACUGCUUUGGUUGCAUCUCAGAAAUUUGGGUCAUAUGAAGAACGACUCUUUCUGGAAGAUGAAUACCCCGAACCCAGGGUUCGUAGACAAUCUCUGUCCUUUUGCUCUUCCCUGAUGUGACUUCGUACUCUGAUGUCUAUACCUGUCCUCAGUUGUGUGAGGCUGGGUAAGGAGAAAAUACAUUUGAGCCAGAUGGAAUUUGCUCCUAUAUCUCCCCUCUAAGACCUAUAUGAGUAUCAUUAAAAUAUGGAUAUUGUAUGCAAGAGAAGAAAGAAACCAUCCAAAGGAGGCUAAUUGAAUCAAUGAUAAUUGAACUUUUAGUGUUUAAUAUUUUGUUACAUUCAUAUUGUUUACUUGUGUACCAUUUGUAACCUCAAAAGGAGCAAUCCCUUCCACCUUCCCAGUGUAGACCAUCUCUUAAGCUCAUCCACUUUGUUCAUGUGACAGGAUACCUACAGAACCUUUCCAUCUUCUUUGGCGCAGAAGUGAUGACUCUUAUUUAACCUGUUGAUAUAGUAAGCUGCCGUGGAAAUCCUUUCAAAUCUCUCAUUUCAAAGGUAAAGCAAGAGCCAAGGAAGUUGUUCGUUCAGGAUGGACGAUCCUUUACUAGGCAGGAAAUGAAAGAACUCAAAUCAGACCAACGAGUGCAUCACUAUCUGGAACACUGAACUACAUUCAGUCCUUACAACAUGGAACUCUGUAUAUAGGGGAAAUGAUUUUUCUUUUAAAAUUUCCUAAAGAAAUUUAUCCCUUACACAUCUAGUCUUAGAGCACAUAUAGAGCUGAGAGGAACCAAGUGAGAUAUGGGGAUAAGUGCCACCAAGAUUUCCUGGUUACACCUCUGAUCUUUGAGUCAGGUAGACCUGAAUUCAAAUCCUGUUUCAGGCACUCGCCUUCAGCCGCACUGUUUCAAGCAAGUCACCUCUCCUCUGUUGGCCUCUGUCAAAUAAGGGGUUUGAUGAGAUGGCCUCUGAGGUGCCAUCCAGGUCUAGUUUCUGACUAUGAGCCUGUGAACCUUAUUUAGGGACCUCAGGAGUGGCCGGGUGGAGAGGAAAUUUAAGACAGCAGAUGGAGACCAUACGUUUGGAAAAGUUGGCAGUGAUGAGAGAGAGACAGACAGAGAGACAGAGACAUACAAUCACAGAGCAUUUUCUUCAGACUGGAGUGCUUCCUUCUUUCUUAGAGGAAAAUGGAGGAUGUGCUCCAGUAGUAGGACCACUGAAAUUGGAGUCAAAAGCACCAGGGGAAAUCCCAUAUUGACUAUGAAGUACAAUGACUGUAGCAGUAGGCUCAUUUACUAUCUGACUUUAAAUCCUGCAUUACUCAAAAAAGGUAGAAUUAAAGAUUUUUAUAAGCCUUGGACACCUAGACAAGUAUUCAUCUGCAUGUCUGAUUUAAUACCAGCAAAAUGUUAGUCAACCUUGUGACAUCUGUUUUAUAAUUUUCCUUCAAAGUUAAGAAAUGCUAUUAAAAUGA